AGAAGAAAGAAGAGAAGAAAGAUGAUGAAAAAUAUACCUCGCCUUAUUAUGUAUGUUAUCCCGCAUAUCCCAUGCCUCCGCAAAUUAUGGUUCAAGAUCCAUGCCAAUGCCAAGCAUGUUCCAUCAUGUGAUGCAUCACUUAUCCAUCAAGUUUAUGUUGCUCCAUUCCCGACCUACACAGGAUUAUACUCAGAGUGUAAAAUGGAUGAAAAAACCUCAAAAUAUGAUGAAUGGAGGAUACAAAUAUAUAUUUGAUAUGAUUAUAAAUUGGAAUAAAGGUCGAUUGAGUCUUAGCUCGAUCAACACUGGUAUUAUUGUCAUAGAAGAAAUGCUUUAGGGACUUGCUUUUAUAUAUAGUAGUAUAGAGACAAUAAGUCAUCUCUAAUUUCCACUAUACAACUUAUUGAAUAGGGGAGGACCCACUUUUUUAGAUUGAUAUGAUAGAGAUAUCGAGUCAGUUCAAAAAUUAACAUGCAUGACAAGUACAAUUAUAUUGAUAAAUUCAACGAUUGGAUUAUUCAAAAAAAUAGAUUGAGUGUAUUGAAAUUUGAUUUGGCAAAAAAUAAUAACAAAAUAAUAUGGAAUUUGGUGGAAGUUAGAGGACUAAAAGUAAAAAUAGACCAUAAAAAUGUGGAUCAUUUUGAUACUUAAUUAAAUUAUUUGGAUUAUUUAAAUAAUAAAAAAACCCGAUAAUUUUACUCCUGAAAUGACAUAAAAGGUGGAAAAUGGACCAACUGUCAUAAUCAUAAAAGGUGGAAAAUGGGUAGAUAUUCCUUGAAAUAGAGCUGAACAGUAGAAACACCAUUGGUAUAGUUAAGCCCCGCAUAUGAUGCUGUGGACCGUCAUAAUCAUGAAUUAGUCAAUGGUCUUAUAAUAUCCAAAUAAAUACUACUGGUUGAUAAAUUAGAGUGGAAUUUAGGAAUUAUGUGUGAACAUGGACUCAUACAAUCAAGCCAAGAACAUUUAAGAAUUAAUAUUUCUUUCAUAUUAUUACAUAGAAAUGUAAAACGUGUAUUCACAUUCAUCCUUCAUUUUUUUAAAAAAAAUCUCAACCAUCGAUUGAGUUUUAAUUCGGUUGACAUGGGUAUUGUUAUUAAUAUAGAAGGACCUGUGUUCGAGUGCACUGAAGUACAUCAUCCUCCUAUUUAUGGGUUGGGGUGGGGUUAUAAAUAGGGGUGAGCAAAACUCGAUUCCAUCCAAAUUUCAAAUAAGUAAUUCGAGUUCGAAUCGAGUUGAAUUGAGAUUUAGGCAUUGUGUAAGAAAAAAAAAGCAGAUAUGAACAGAACCUAUGAGAUUGUUCAAAAAAACAUCUGAAUAUCAUAGUUUGUAACUUGAUUGUAAAAGUUGAACUACUUGAUUGAUUAAAUCGAUUAAUUUGAUGGUUCAAUUAUAUAUAUAUCGAAUAGAAAAAAAGAAUAAAAAAUUAAUUAAGGAAAAAAUUUGAGUUUUUAUUGAUAAUAUAUAUUUUUUAUUUUUAACAAAAAAAUAUUGUGUUUUUAUAGAAGUUUUUCAUUAAUUUUUGUUUAUUUUCAUCAUUGAUCUUUUGGAAAUAUAAUUUUUCCUUUUCUUAUUUUUCUCUUCGCAUAAUAUAACAUUUGGUAUCUAAACUUGAUUUUGUUUUUUAAUUUGGCACCUAAGCUUUUUUUUUAAGUUUAUUUGGGUACACAAACUUGUUAAAUGAUAUACAAAUUACCCUAGAACACUAAGAGUGUUAAAAAAAAUUGCACUAUGCUAUAAAAAUAUCGUCAGUAUUAGAGGAAAUCCGUGUUUAGAAUAACCAUGCAUUGAGCUACACUUGAUGAAUUAAUAUUAAAUAUGAAAUUUCAUGUCAUCUGCCACAUGUCAAUCAUAUAUUAAAAUUUUUUGCUACCUCAUAAAAAAAAUAACAUUGGUAGUAUAUUAGAGUAUUUUGUAUAAUAUUUGACAAGUUCAAGUACCAAAUUAGGAAAAAACAGUCAUUGAACUAAAAAAAGACUAAAUAAUUUUUUUGCCACUAAUUUGUGCCAUUUCUUUAAAAUUCCACUUACACAUGUUUAUAUAUAUAUAUAUAUUGGUGAAUGAAACAUCGUUAAAAAAACUAUUUAGAGAUACCGCCAUAUCCCCAUGGGGGUAUUAAAAAAAUUGAGUACUCGUAUUGUUACUAACAGGCAUCCUGGCCAAACAAUUAGCCUCUUUAUUAUAAACUCUAGAAACAUGUUGAAUUGAUCAUUAUGACAAAUUAGCCAAUUGUAAAUUAAUCCUUCUUACUGAAGUAGAAUUCGACACCUUAAUAGCACUCUCUUGUACAGCUUGUACUGCCUCUAGACUAUCUGAAACGAUAAUUAUUCUGUUGAACACCCUCUCAACAACAAUAACCAACUUUCCAACAUGCCCCACAUGUUUUUAUAUUUUUUUUUCCUUUUAACUGUCUUAAUCUUGCCAUUAAUCAGAGAUUCGCAUUUUCAUUGAAAAACAUCAACUUUUGUUAAAUCAUAAAUGCAGACAAAAAAAAAUAUUUGAAUAGAAAAUAUUGAUCCUAUCGAUAUCUUUAUCCUAUCGAUUUAAUACAUUCUAUAUAUUAAUGUAUAUUUAACUGCUGAAUAUAUUUUUACAUAAAAUAUAUAGUUAGAAACUUUUAAUUUACAACAUUCUAAGUUUUGUUUUAAUUUUUUUUAUGAAUUACGAGAGGAGAGUAAAGUUCUAACAAGAACGUGGCUAGUGCGACUCGAACCCGUACGACACAUCCAACAUCAGAUGAACCACACAACACUAUAAUCAAAACACAACAUCCCAAGUAAAUAACAUGUCUUACCACUCUAAAAACAAUCACCAAUUAGCAAUUAACCCUAAACGACAAAAGAAGGAACUGCUUCCGACAAAGACUAGGUUGCUUGAAUUGUCAAACAAGUUAAUAUUUUAUUUUUAUUUUUUUUAAAAAUCUUUUUCCAGCUCUAAAUUGAUGUGAAACAAGAAGAAGAGUUAGGGUCAAGUCAAGUCAAGCCAAAGCAUUAAAAAAAAAAACCCAUAACUCACGCUAUAUUGACUCAAAUGUAAAGGCCAAAUAUAUGGCUUAUAAUUUUUCUAUUACAAAAUUGAAUGGAGAACCGGAAGUGCAACUAGUCUUAUCCGGUUCGGUUUUUAAACAUAGUUUCUCACUACUUUGCCUUAUUAAUAAGCAGAUUUAGUGUCUCUUUUUUUUAUUCAUUCAAAGUCAUACAUAUUUCAUAGAAUUUCUUCAUUGGAAAGCUGCUUCUUAGAUACUUAUAAUCAGAUAUGAAGGUGAGCUUUUCUUUAUUUUUCUCCCAUAAUAUCUAUAUAUAUACAUAUCAUAUUGUUACAACUUAUAUAGACAUAUACAUAUAAUAUAAGAUUGUUGGAACUGAUAUUUAUAUAUAUGUUUUUUAUACGUAAUUAAUAAUGCAGCAAAAGAUGGUUCUGAAGGUGCAAAUGAACUGUGAGAAAUGUCGAUCACAGGCUUUGAGGAUUGCUGCUGCUACACAAGGUUGGCAAUGGCGUCUAAAUUCUAACUUCAUUUUAUGCUUAUAUAUAAAUGGGUUAAUCCCCCCAAAGUCCCCAAACUAUAUGCUAAAUUUUAAAUUAGUCCCUAAACUUCAACACAUUAUCGUUCCAAUCAAGUCUUUCAGUCAAUCUAGUAGGUAACUUUGGCGUUAAAUAUCAUCUUUGAUCAAAUUAUGUGGUUAAAACUGUUUAUUAAUGCAUGUUUUCUUUGAGAAAAAGGAAGCACGUGAGCUGCAAUAUAACACUUAACGCCAAAGGACCCAACUUCUAAUAUGGGGCAAUUCAAAGGCAGGUAGAGGCCUUUGCCCUUUGAAUAAAAAGGUGGAAUUUUGUUUUUAGUCCCUUUAUAAAUUUACUAAUUCAAAUUAUGACAUUUUAGUGUACAAUUUUGUACUUCCCCCAACAAACAUGGAAUUUUGGUUUUGAGGAUGAACAGGUGUGACUAACAUGGCAAUACAAGGGAAAGAAAAAGAUGAACUAAUGGUAACUGGAGAUGGAGUGGAUUCAGUUAAGUUGACUCGCUGUUUAAGAAAGAAGCUUCACCAUGCUACCAUAUUGACCAUAGAAGAAAGAAGAGAAGAAAGAUGAUGAGCCUUAUUAUGUAUGUUAUCCCUCAUAUCCCAUGCCUCCACAAAUUAUGGUUCAAGAUCCAUGCCAAUACCAAGCAUGUUCCAUCAUGUGAUGCAUCACUUAUCCAUCAAGUUUAUGUUACUCCAUUCCCGACCUACAUAGGAUUAUACUCAGAGUGUAAAAUGGAUGAAAAA
rnacentral:lncRNA from 1 species